GAUAUUUUUAAAGUCCAUUUAAACUACUGAAUGCUUGUAGACAUUUUAAGGCCUGUGUCUAAGUCCUCUUCUUCUUAUCUCAAGAACCGCAUCGAACUUUCUCUCAAGAUCUAUGGCGGAAGAGCAUCAACGUCAGACGCCGGAAGGCCACCGUCCGUGUUCUAUCAUCUGCGGCUUCCUCGACUGCCCCACCACCAUGAAUAUUUGCUCCAACUGCCACGGCCAUCUCUGCCUCAAGAAACAAACUUGCGUGAAAUCCACCUUGAAAUCCUCUAUCUCUGCAGUUCCCCCCCCCCCUAGAACUGAUGAACCCUAAAAUUGUGAGGUCGAAAGAAGAUAAUGCCGAUAUGGACCUCUCUUUUGUAUGGAUUUGGGCCCAGAAAUAAGUUACUAUCAGUAUCUAUAAUUUUAUAUUCGGGCAAGCCCAUUAACAAAACAGAAAAGCAAACGAUUUUUUAA